GCACAAAGCGAACUAUUCUUUCGCCUUUUACUAAAGAAUACCGUGUGUGCACCGCAUUCAGUGGCAUACGCCAAUUUUUUCAAGGGAUUUCUCUUACAAGGGAAGCCCUGCAAAUUUCAGUUACUUAAGGUAGCGUUUGGUACGCGGAAUGGGACAGAACGGAGUGGGAUAAGAUGUUCCGUCCCAUGUUUGGUGAGCUUAAAAUGGGUGGAACACGCUGUUUCACGGGACAAGUUUUGGGUGAUUUUUGGUUCCACCUCUUUCUUCUGGAACGAUUUGAUUUGGGUGAUUUUUGGUUCCACCUCUUCCUCCUGGAACGAUUUGUUUCAUCGUGGGACACAAAUUUAUAACAUUUUAAGACAAAAAUACCCCUCGUCUUUUUCAAUAUUUACACCAUCCAAAUCCUAAAUCCAUUCUCUGUUGCUGCUCUCUCGUCCCGUAGACUUCCUCCUCAUCCUUCCUCCUCAUCCUUCUUCAUCAUCUUCUCCCAUAGCCGUCGACUGCAGCCAGCACGCAGCAGCACGGAGCCACUAGCGUCGCACUGCAGAUUGACCCAAGUGGAGGUUCAAGUGGGGAAGUUGUAUUGUGUGAGUAAGGCUGCUGUUUUACCUAUUAACAUUGAGGAUGCUGCUCGGAGUGAUGUCGAAAUCGAAAAGGCUUUGCAGGCCGGAGAAACACUUGUUCGAGUUAAUCAGGAUACCUGCUUGAAUAACCGAGUUCUUGAUUUGCGAACACCUGCGAAUCAGGGGAUAUUCCGCAUUCAGAGUCAAGUUGGCAAUAUCUUUGGGCAGUUCUUGAUAUCCGAAGGCUCUUUUGCCAAAGCUGAUUGCUGGUUCAAGUGAAGGUGGAGCUGCAGUUUUUAGACUCAACUACAAGGGUCAAGAUGCCUGCCUUGCCCAGUCACCUCAGCUUCACAAGCAAAUGGCUAUACGUGGUGACUUCGGUCGUAUUUUUGAGAUUGGUCCUGUUUUUAGAGCUGAGGACUCCUUUACCCAUAGGCAUUUGUGUGAGUUCACUGGCCUUGAUGUUGAGAUGGAGAUCAAGAGGCACUACUUUGAGGUAGAAUUAGUAAUUUUUUAGGCAUUUGUUUACCUUUACCGCCCUAUAUGACGAUGUAUGUUAACUUAUGGUGCAAUUAUAUGCUUGUUUGUUCUGGA